rnacentral:ribozyme from 13 species
GAAAAAGAAAAAAAAAAGAGAAAAAGAAAUUUGACAAAUCAUGGCUUCAGUGGUCAGGACAUGUUGGUUCAACUUGUCCUCUCGUCAUCUUUAUCUUGCUCAAUCUCAAUCUCAAUCUGCUGCUCUUUUUGGAGGGGUUCGGCGGAAACAAACAAGUACAAAAGAAAAGA